rnacentral:rRNA from 1 species
CCCUUAGAUGUCCUGGGCCGCACGCGCGCUACACUGACAUGUUCAACAAGCCUCCUAGUUCGACAGGAUUUGGGAAAUCUUUGAACGCAUGUCGUGAUAGGGAUAGAACAUUGCAAUUAUUGAUCUUGAACGAGGAAUUCCUAGUAAACGCGAGUCAUCAGCUCGCAUUGAUUACGUCCCUGCCCUUUGUACACACCGCCCGUCGCACCUACCGAUUGAAUGUUUCGGUGAAGAUUCCGGAUAGGACUUUUUUGAUUUAUUUCAAUUUUGUCUUAAAAGCUAUCUAAACCUCAACAUUUAGAGGAAGGUGAAGUCGUAACA